rnacentral:rRNA from 1 species
AACGCGAAGAACCUUACCUACUCUUGACAUCCACGGAAUUUGGCAGAGAUGCCUUAGUGCCUUCGGGAACCGUGAGACAGGUGCUGCAUGGCUGUCGUCAGCUCGUGUUGUGAAAUGUUGGGUUAAGUCCCGCAACGAGCGCAACCCUUAUCCUUUGUUGCCAGCGAUUCGGUCGGGAACUCAAAGGAGACUGCCGGUGAUAAACCGGAGGAAGGUGGGGAUGACGUCAAGUCAUCAUGGCCCUUACGAGUAGGGCUACACACGUGCUACAAUGGCGCAUACAAAGAGAAGCGACCUCGCGAGAGCAAGCGGACCUCACAAAGUGCGUCGUAGUCCGGAUCGGAGUCUGCAACUCGACUCCGUGAAGUCGGAAUCGCUAGUAAUCGUGGAUCAGAAUGCCACGGUGAAUACGUUCCCGGGCCUUGUACACACCG